AUUUGAUAUUGAAGAUGAAACUAAAGUUAUAAGUAUUUUUAAACAAUUUUGAAAAUUUUGGAGAACAAUCAUCAGUAGGAAAUAAUUACGUGAUUAAGGAGUUCAUUUUCCCUAUUUAGAAAAGGGGGAAGACUGAAGAAUGCAAAAUAUUAUGUUCACAUAUACGACUUCUAUAUAAAGGAAUCUUAAAUGUCUUUUGCUAAUAACCUGUGAAGAAGCAGUGUUGUCAUUAAUGUUGAACUUACAAUAGUUAUCUGAGCAUUUUGGUAAACAGACAAGGCACUUGGAAUUUUGUCUCUCAACAUCUGUACUCUGCUUUUAACUUCAAAAGGUAGUUUUGAAGUACAUGUAAUUUUUGCCAUCUGCCACUGAAUUUGUGAUUUAGAAAUAUUAGAAGCAGGGCCACAUUAUGACUUUCUUGGGCUGCAGGCUCUUUUGCCUUUGUGGCAAAACUUCUCAUGACUUUAUUGUGUUACACAAAUGCUAAGUGUUCAUUAUAAGGAAUCCAAGGGAUGUAGAAAAGUAAAAAGAAACAAAUCAUAAAUUCUAUCAUUUAAAAAUAAGCCUCAUUAAUAUUAAAGAAACGUUGUGUUAGAUACCACCCUAAGCAUGUUUGCAGAUGGGAAGAUAGAUGGAUGGAGAGAUAGAUAUGCUUUCAAAGAAGAGUGAUCAUAUGAUACAGGCUAAGUUUUUAUUUAUAUUUAUUUUUUUGAGGUAGGGUCUCCCUGUGUCACUCAGGCUGGAGUGCAGUGGCACUCUCACAGCUCACUGCAGCCUCCACCUCUCAGGCCCAAGCAAUCCUUCCACCCUGGCCUCCCAAGUAGCUGAGACCACAGGCAUGCACUACCAUGCCUGGCUAAUUUUUUAUUUUUAUUUUUGUACAGAUUGAGGGGUGUCCCUAUGUUGCCCAGGCUAGUCUUGAACUCCUGAACUCAAGCGACCCUCCCCCCUUGGCCUUCCAAAGUGUAUAGGCAUGAGCCACUGCCUCAGCUAUACACACUAAUUUUUAAAUGUAAAAACCAUUACACUUAAUUUUACCUGAUUUUAACUGGAGAAAACUAAGUGAGAAUUAAGGAAUUACUGAACUUUGAACAAACAUUUUUUCACAUAAAAAUGUUAUUUUUUCCCCCUCUAUGGUUAAGUAAAGAGAUAAGAACUUGCUGGUUUUCAUUUUGUGUUUUUUUUUCCAAUUAUGUUUUUGUGGUAGGCACUGUUGCUGUUCACCCAGUUUUCUUCCUCUUCUGGGAUAUAGGAGAAUCAUAUUUGCUCAGUCUCUUCAAGUUAGAUGUGACCUUGUGGCUUGCUUUAGUCACACAACAUGAGCAGAAACGACCAUUAUGGAUGAAUGCAUUUAAUUACCGGGUCUCCAGUCUCACCCUUUCUUCUAUCACCUUGGUGAGCCUGGGUGCUCAUGUUAAUGUGGUGGGCGCAUAAGAUCAACACAGCACAGAGUGCAGAGCCGGCACGUGAAAGGCACAGCCCUUACCCCCAUGGGCCUGCAGUGCAGGGAGUAUGAGCAUGAAAUGAACUCUUGAUCGGUUAGGUCACUGAGACUUGGGACUUGUUUUUAACCAUAGAUUACUUAGGUUAUCCUGAUGCUAUCAUUUUCAUACUAGACAGUAUGGACUUCCUUUCUGCCAUGAUAAAUAAGGUCAUUAAGAACUUUCACUCUUUUUCCUUCCUUCCUUCCCUUUAGAUUUUAGUUAGUUACAUUGCUGUUUUCACAUAGUCAAGUAUAUAAUAUUUACAUUCUAUUCUAUAAUCUAGCUUUGAUUUUGAUUAGUUAUGUUAUUUUCAUAUAGUUGAAGUAUAUAAUGUUAUGUUCAGUUGUUUAAAAUUAGUUUGGUUUUUUUCUUUUUUGAGACGGAGUUUCGCUUUUGUUACCCAGGCUGGACUGCAGUGGCACAAUCUUAGCUCACCACAACCUCUACCUCCCAGGUUCAAGUGAUUCUCCUGCUUCAGCCUCCCAAGUAGCUGGGACUACAGGCCUGCGCCACCACAUCCGGCUAAUUUUGUAUUUUCAGUAGAGACGGGGUUUCUCCAUGUUGGUCAGGCUAGUCUCAAGCUGCCCACCUCAGGUGAUCCACCUGCCUCGGCCUCCCAAAGUGCUGGGAUUAC
rnacentral:lncRNA from 1 species